CUAACAGAUUGCCUCUUGUGAUGUUGAUUGAUUUGCAGGCUUACUGGUUUUGGUUCAGUUUGAAGGGCUCUCCGGGCUUAAGAUCUUGGUUUCAUUAGAAUUACAGAAUUUCUUUGCUCGGUAGUAUUGCCGGUGGUGGCAGUUUUACUUUGUGGAUGUAGGUUCUGUUGCCAGUGACACCUCAUGAAUUUUCUGUUAGAUUUAGCAGCCAUACAUACUGAAAGGGACACCUUUGGACAUUCCCUUGCUUUUUCAACAGUCUAAUUACUCGCAUGUAAAAACUGCAUCCAUUUUGGUAUGUGAUACUGCAAGUGUAAAUUUAGAACUGGACCUUAUGGUCUGGCUUCAGUAUCUAUUCAUCAUGGUUAUGUGCAUACUGCAUAAAAAUGGAGUAUCCUUGUGCUCAUUUGAGCUUGCUAUUAUGCCUUGCGUGUGCAUUAAAAUGGAGAGUUCUUUAGGUAAGAUCCUGGUCUUUGUUCUUUCUUACAUGGGAUCUUGAUCUUAGCCUGCCACCAAUGUCAAAUAUAUUUACUCAAAGAUGUUAGGCUUGCUAAUCUAUUUAAUGACAGUAGAUAUCACAUGCCUACUGUCAAUGGCAAAGCUUUGUCGCCAUUAUGAUAAUCUAAAAGACACCUCUGCAGUUUCUGUUGUUGUUUCAGUUUAAAGUAAGCAGUCAGCAUCCAACAACCUUUCUUCACUAUGAACAUAGAUGAUGUAUUGUUGCAGCUUAGGGAAUCCUAUUGACAUGCUUUUGAACUGAACACCUUCCAGAUGUGGCUUCUCAACUAGGCUACGGCAUCAACUCUUUGUGCCUAGAUGUCAUGGUCCUCGAGCUAAGCAGUAUAAAAAUAGUACUCCCUCCAUCUGGAAAUACAUGUCAUCAAAAUGGAUAAAAAGGGAUGUAUCUAGAACUAAAAUACGUCUAGAUACAUCCCCUUGUAUUCAUCUUGAUGACAAGUAUUUCCGGACGGAGGAAGUAGAUAGACAUGUGCCUAUUAUCAUGUACAGUUGGAGAAAAUGCAAAUAACUAUGCUUCAAUACAAGUCCUUUUCGUAAAUCUGACCACUGGUAACAUUGGACAUGUCUUGAUGUAUUUAUUUUCUCAGAUUGUGAGGUAGAUUGAGAAGCCUGUUUGUCAUCCCAUUUGUCGUUCAUUUACAUAACAUGUCGGUUUUAUCGUCGGAUUCGUGUCAGAAGGGACCAAUGAUUUUGCCAUUCGGAAGCUCAUGCUUAAGUUAAGUUGUAUGGCUAUAAUUUUCUCUGUAUAUUACACAGAUACACUUCCUUCCUGAGAUAAUUAUAAUCAUUUGUUCCUGGUAGUCUCAUUGUACUUGUUCAUUUGUUCCUCUGAUUUUUUCCUUCUCUUGUUGCUUUAUUCCGUAUUGUGCCCAUGUACUGCAGUGCUCGUUUUUGUCUUCCCCUGUUGUUCAUCAGCUCAGGAUGACGCUUGAUUUUAGCCUCGAGGAACUACGAACAUUUGCAUUGCAAAACUACUGGCUUUUCUUUUUAUGACACACUAAUCCUUUUUUCGUUUGUCGCGUUUUGUAUCAAUAAUUGCGCCAUUCACUUUACAAUUUUGAUAUGUUCUGGAUUUUAUUUCAGGUUGUCUUGAGCUUUGGCACAGUGGUAAAGCUGCUGCCUUGUGACCUCAAGUCCUGGAAACAGCCUCUUACAGAAAUGUAGGGAAAGGCUGCUUACUAUAGACCCAAAGUGGUCGGACCCUUCCCCGGAACCUGCGCAAGCGGGAGCUACAUGCACCGUGGCUGCCCUUUUGUCUUGUUGUAUCUGGACACAAACUUGUCCACGUUUUAAAAUCAUGUCUUAAUGGUCUGUUUAUCUGGUAAGUUUGAUACACUACUCUCUCUUGAGAACAAGUCGCACAGUUUCUGAAUAUCACUUUCAUGCUUCAUAGUGAUCAAUAGUUCGGUUUGUUUUCCAGGGUCCCAAGAGCUUGGCUUAGGUUUCUUCUUUGCAAAUAAAAAUGUUCUCUGCAUAGUGGAUACAUGUACUUAUAGUAGAUGAUGUAUUGUUGCAGCUUAGGGUACCUGGCAUCAAGAACCCGACAUUCUUUUCCCGGAGUUUGUUGAGGUGAGCCACCUGGGCAGGUCUAUGGGUUGAGGUGGUUUCAUAAUCCUUUGUUGUUCCUCUUUUUCCUGCGCUUUUUUAUCAGCAAAUGCUUUUAUUCGUUGGAAAAUGGCAGUAUCGUUUACAAGUAUUCCAUGCUACAGGCUAGGUCGCUUCUUAGUAACGACUCUUUGUCUCUCCCAUCAGCGUCACUGUCCCUUGCAUAAGAGACCAAGGUGGCUUAUGAGUAACACGUGAGUUGCAAGUGUGAGCAUCCAUCUUGGUUAUUUUGACGCUGAUGUAAAUGGAUUGCUUGAGGAAUGUGAGAUUGUGUCCUUAAUUUGUACAUACAUAUUCAUGCACAGUUUACAGAUUUUGGUCUUUUAUGCAUGUCUUGUUGAUUUUUCUAAAACAAGAUAUAUAUUUCUGUAGGUUUCUCCUUGCCGUCGGUAGUAGCAGUGAGCAUAGGGGCAGCGGCCGCGGUCGCCCAAGGCGCAGAGCCGCACGGUGGCUGGUCCUGCUUCCGCCAGAGCGGACUGGCGGAGGUCGAUGCAGGGUCGAGGUGGGCACGAGCGAGGGUCAUUUGGUUGUACUUCAUCUGCCAAAGCACUAUUGAGACAACGAAUUUCAGCUAUAUUAUGAGCCGAACCAUAUAAAGUAUGUGCAUCCUGGGUGGAAUGCUUUCUGUUCAUCAGCUGGUCUCCCAACACGUACUGCUGACAAAAGAAAAGAAGGGAGCUUUUAAGGAUAACGGCGACGGUGUGGACGAGCUCGUGCGCUCCCGCUAGCUGGACGAACGACUCCAUGACGCAUAGCACAGCGUAUUUACUGCUAUGGUGUGCAUUGACGUCGAGUACAGGUGCUCCACCGUCCAAACUAACCCGAAAGUGGCGGCUGAGCUUCGUGUUGUUCCGUUGGAACAUGAAUGUCGGAGGGGCCCAUAACCGAAUGUCGCCGUCAACUUCCGCUACUGAGACGGCAUCCUCCGAAAGGGUACUUGGGUGCCUAACUCUGAAAAGUAAAUGGGUACCCAUGUUUGGGCCCAUGGUCGUCUCGGCGUCGCUGACCAGUAAAAGAAAUAUAUCUUCCUUCUCCCAUAGCCGCCUACAGAGCAGGAGCUCAUGGCGAUGCAGAUGUCGGCCGCCGGAGGUGUUGAAGUCGAGUUUUUGUCAGAUCCCGUCGACAGGUACACUUUUCCGCUACCAGUUUCUCUUCCUGUCGACAGGUACACUAGCAGCUGAUCUGUUGUUCCUUCUUGAAAAAGAUUUCCACCGCCAGAUCUCGCUGCCGCACAGCCCUUGGUUGCUUACGAGACGUACAAAUCCAUGGAGUGUGAGCCUGCUGAGUCCAGCAUUGGUGAUGUGGGAGACGCUCCGGUCAACGGUAAUUGCGAUGCGAUUGCCUUGUCCGCAGCAGCAUCUGAGCAUUCUACGGGCAAAGACACCCCUGAAGCCCCAGGCUGGAGGAAGAGGUACAGCAGUUUGCCAAAUCUUCAGUUAGCAUUAUAUGUGCAGAUGACCUAUUCUUGCGUUAUCUUAAGACGAACUGUCGGAUAUUCAAAUUCAGUCGUGUAUCACAUGUAAUUAAACACUGCAUUCAACGAUGAGGCCUAAGAAAUUCAAUCCAAUUGAUGCAGAAUGCUCGGAAGUUCAUCUAGCGAGCGCCACCCAUGCGCUGACAGGAUGAGUGCUUUGGAAGCAACACUAAGAAACUAUGCAGAGAAAAAAAUUGACACUGUCGUAGUUCCUACUAUGGGGACAAAAUUUGAUUCUCUUGGAGAAGCCUGCUAGAACAUGUCCCUGGAUGUGCAUGGAUGCAGAAAAUCUCCUUGGGAUAUAGAGCUGGAAAUCUGGGACUUAGGGUGUUCUAGAGCAUCCGUGUCAUCCAAGUGAGAGGAGAAUAUCAUUUGUCUUUAGGACAUGCUUGCUGAACAUGCAAGUUCCCUAGACGAAGGAUGAGUAUAACUGAUGAAGCUUUAUGCAGUCUAUUGGCGCCCAUCUCGUACAGAGCUAUUGCCGAGAGCGCCUUUGCAUCUGACGUCGUGCGCCAGCGCUGGUCAUAGGGGACCACACGCAGCUUGAUCAGCUCGCCAUGGUCCCGCAGGCCCGUUUUCUUCCCUUGGAGAGCCUAAGAGCAUUACUAGUAGAACCCUCAAACCCUCAAACCCUCACUAGCGUUUUAUGGGUCCAAAAAUGAUCUUUUUAUGCACUUUUACGGGUUGAAAAACAGGGGCAAAGAUUAGAACCCUCAAAUCCAACCCUUAUAACGGAAUAUUUCCCAUGAACGACGUUGUCGUUGCGCGCGGGAGGUCGACGGGGUGGUCACCGCGACGGGGCGACUAGCAGCGGCGGUUGCGGGCGUUGGCGCGGGAGUUGGGAGGAUUUUUCCCUCCCGCGCGAGGAUAACCGCCAAAUGAGGGUUGGGGUAGGUUUUGCUCCCCAACCCUUACUUUUGAGGAUUAGGAGAGGGUUUGAGGGUUGGACCUUUAAAAAAAUUUGAGGGUUUGAGGGUUAAGGGGUUCUAGUCUACGGCUUUUUUUUGAUGAAAACUGUAAAAAAAAGCAGUUAUUUUUAGGGGUUUGAGGGCUCUAAUAGUCUCCUUGUCCACGUGCCCUCUAUAAAGGAACAUGCCAAUCUCUUCGUCACAGCCACCCUGGUAAAAAGAGGAAGAUGUUUAGUCGAGGUAUUGCACAACCAGGAGCAAGUGUAAGUUCUUAGAACAGGUAUUGAAAUUGCGUCAGCAUGGAUCAAGAGAACUUUUCCAUUCCAGGUAUAUGAUGCCAAAUGAACAUCCCAUUUUGUAACACCCCGGAUGUUACUUUCCAUAAUUGUAACUCCAACUCUUGCCAUUUCCGGCUAUGUGAUAUAUUAUUUCCUUCGUGGUUGGGUUUUGUCUUUUGUUUUGCUUUUUGUUCAUGUCAUCCAUCUCAUCUCAUAGCAUCAUGCGCAUUGCAUCGGCAUUGUUUUCUUAAAACUUGCAUCCGCUCGUAGUUGCCGCUCCUCGCUUCUCUCCGUUGCGUUCGUUGACCGAUCCGAGUCUAACCGGGUUUUCGAUUCCCUCUUGUCUGACCAUUUGACCCCCCUCUACUCUUUACUCAAACCCCUAGCGCGCGUCCGAAAGUUGUCCCGAACCCGACCCGCUCCGUCGUUAUCAAUGGGUCCGGAUCAUCUCCAAACAUCUAUAAAACAUCUCCGUUUUCGUAUUUGGGAUUCACUACCUAUUUAUUCCCAUCCGUCGGAUUUCGAUCGGAUGAUCCAAACUCCCUCAUUUCCUUAUAUAUAGAGCAACCCCUAACCAAAUCAGACCUAACCCUAGCCCCUAGCCUACCCUAACCCUUGCGCCGCCGCCACUCCUCUCCCUCGGGAUCCAUCCCGCAGCCACCUGGUCUCCCCCUGCCACCCAGUCUCGUCGAUCCAUCCAUCCAUCGAUCCCCACCAACCGCAGCCCCGACCAGAUCCCUGGUUUUCUGCGCAGCCGCCUGAGCAUCUCGAUCCCGAGUGGAUCAAGCGCUUCGCCUCCAAGCCCAGCCUCCCCUGCUCAUGCCCGAGCCUCCCGGCGUCCAGGAGCACGAGCUCCCUCGCGUCGCUGCCUCAUCAGCUCCGCUGCCGGCAGCAGCACUCGAGCCCUGCCUCAUCGUCCUUUGUCCUCGCAACCGCCUUCUUCUGCAACCACUGGAGUUCCUCCCGAGAGGGAGCGCUCGCGCCCGAGGCCCCAGCUGGCCCAAGCUCUUCUCCAACCAGAACCCAAGCGCCAGCAGCAGCCAUCUCCCUCGCGAGCCCCUGCUUCCUCGCGCUCCGUCGCCGUCCCGUCGUCCAAGCCUCCUCUGCUUGCGCACAAGCUCCGCGACUUCGUCAGCCUCGUCGCCACCGUCGACCCGCAGGCCAGCACCUUGCCUCCUCCUCCCAUCCUCUUCUUCGGCUUCCCCUCUCUCUAAUCCCUCUCUCUCCCAGAUCCUCCGCCGCCAUGGAUGCCCGCCGCUGCUUCGUCCUGGAACAGAUCCUCGUCGCCCCGAGCCCGCGCAAGCUGUCGAGCCCCGCCGCCGCCGGGAACGGGCUUCCCGCGCCCUGGAUCCGGUCGAUCCGAGCUUCUCCAUGCCCAAGACCUCACCGCCCAUUUGCCCCGCUCGCCGGAGCUCUGCUCCCGGUCACCGCCGCCCUGCUCGCCUCCUACUGCAACCGCCUCCUGCGUUCCUGCCACGAGCGCGUUGACCACGCCCUGCACCGCUUCGAUCUGCCUCGGAGGCCCAGCGCUACGCCAAGCCCACCUCCACAAUCCGGCCUGCUUCAGCCUCCUCCACCGACCGGCCCAUGAGGCCUGGUGAGCAGCCCCCGCCCCCUAUGCACUAUUGGGCCAGCCUGCAGUUUCGGCCCGCAUGUGUUUUUUUUCCUGUUCUGGACGUUUUGCUAAUUAUCCAGUGAUUUACAGUUUUGCAGAAAAGUCCCUCUAGUUCAUACAUUUAAUAACUCACAAAUGGUGCAGCGGAUUAAAAUGAUUUAAACAUGUAAAAUGCUUAGAAUUUUGUGUAGAUUAAUAAUUUGCAACUUUCACCCAUGUUAAAGUUGUUUAAAUGUGUUGUUUGAAUUAAUUUGCUAAAAUGCCAUGUUAAAAUGAUUUAUUUCAUAACUAAAUAACCGUAGCUUGGUUUUAAAUAAACUUUAUAUGUAAAUGGGGUGGAAAAAUGCCUAGUUUAACAUGGUGGACUUUAUUUCCCUGUUUAACAACAAUAAAAUAUGUUUUAGGGCAGAACAGUAGCAAAUUCAUAAAUUGCAUAUGAGGAUUUCCGGAAUUGUUGUUUAUUGUUCCGGCCUCAUUUAAACUUGCCUAAAUAGUUAGUCUACUUAUGCUUCACCCCUUGCCAUGUUGAAUAACAUUUAAUAUUGUUGGGUACAUAAACAAGAGCGAACUAAGUAACUUGAAUGUGGUGUUUCGUCAAUAUGCAACCCGUUGCAUAUUGAGCUCCACUUAAUUUAUAGUGUUGUUUGUUGCACUUUGCCAUGCCAUGCUCUUUAAAUCGGACAUGCAUCAUACUUGGUUGUGCAUCAUGCCAUGUUUAUGCUUGUGUGUUUACCAUGUUGUUUGUUUGUUUCUGGUGUUGCUUCUUCUUGAUAGUUCCUAUUUUGUUGCGAUCGUGAGGAUUCGUUCAACUACGCUUGGUUCGACUACGUCUGUUCGUCUUCUUCAUGGACUCGUUCUUCCUCCUAGCGGGAUUUCAGGCAAGAUGACCAUCACCUUGGAUCUCACUACUAUCAUUGCUAUGCUAGUUGCUUCGUCUAUCGCUUUGCAGCGCUACCUAUCUCUUGUCUAUCAAGCCUCCCAAAUUGCCAUGUCAGCCUCUAACCUUUUCACCCUUCCUAGCAAACCGUUGCUUGGCUAUGUUACCGCUUUUGCUCACCCCCUUGUGGCUUCAUGGUGGUGAGGGCUAACGGAUUGGGGAGGAGGAGAAGAGGAGGCGGCGGAUUGGGGAGGAGAGGAGGAGGCGGCGGAUUGGGGAGGAGAGGAGGAGGAGGAAGAGAAGAGGAGGCGGCGGAUUGGAGAGGAGGAGAAGAGGAGGCGGCAGAUUGGGGAGGAGAGGAGGCUCUCGGUAGGCUAGCGCGCGUGCACUGUUCAUAGCGCGAAUAGAAGGAGACGUGGCCACUGGCGCUAGUUGGGCGUAUUGGCUCAUCCUUUAUAUGUUCAAUGUUGGGCGGUUGAAAUAUGUUCUAUAUUGCAGGUGAUGGGCAGCUGACUUUUAUUGUGCACUUGUGCUGAUUUUGACUUCUGCUUAAUUUGAUACCUACUGUAUAAGUAAUGACACUAAUAUAAUAGAUAUCAGACUAAUGGAUUUGCUAACAGAUUGCCUCUUGUGAUGUUGAUUGAUUUGCAGGCUUACUGGUUUUGGUUCAGUUUGAAGGGCUCUCCGGGCUUAAGAUCUUGGUUUCAUUAGAAUUACAGAAUUUCUUUGCUCGGUAGUAUUGCCGGUGGUGGCAGUUUUACUUUGUGGAUGUAGGUUCUGUUGCCAGUGACACCUCAUGAAUUUUCUGUUAGAUUUAGCAGCCAUACAUACUGAAAGGGACACCUUUGGACAUUCCCUUGCUUUUUCAACAGUCUAAUUACUCGCAUGUAAAAACUGCAUCCAUUUUGGUAUGUGAUACUGCAAGUGUAAAUUUAGAACUGGACCUUAUGGUCUGGCUUCAGUAUCUAUUCAUCAUGGUUAUGUGCAUACUGCAUAAAAAUGGAGUAUCCUUGUGCUCAUUUGAGCUUGCUAUUAUGCCUUGCGUGUGCAUUAAAAUGGAGAGUUCUUUAGGUAAGAUCCUGGUCUUUGUUCUUUCUUACAUGGGAUCUUGAUCUUAGCCUGCCACCAAUGUCAAAUAUAUUUACUCAAAGAUGUUAGGCUUGCAAAUCUAUUUAAUGACAGUAGAUAUCACAUGCCUACUGUCAAUGGCAAAGCUUUG
rnacentral:lncRNA from 1 species